ACCUGGUCUUUUUCGGUUCCAGCCUCUCCCUCGAAUACAUAGGGUAGGUAGGGCUGGGUGAGAAAUGGUUCCCUCUUGCCAAUAAACUUUCCCCGGCCUUCGAUUAACCUUACUCAUAAAGGGUCUUACGGUCGGGAGAACUACCUAACUAAAGAAAAAUAGUGUUCUUUCUAAGAGUAGGCGUGGAGAGCUUUUUGCGGGG
rnacentral:lncRNA from 1 species